GCCACGCAUGGUGGCUCACGCCUGUAAUCCAAGCACUUUGGAGGUCAAGGCGGGCGGAUCACCUGAGGUCGGGAGUUCAAGACCAGCCUGACCAAAAUGGUGAAACCCCGUCUAUAAAGAAAUAAAAAAUAAUAAAAUAAUAAAAAAUAAAGACCCCAUCUAUAAAAAAAUAAAAAAUAAAGACGGGGUUUCACCAUUUUGGUCAGGCUGGUUUUGAACUCCCGACCUCAGGUGAUCCGCCCGCCUU
ensembl:misc_RNA Metazoa_SRP Metazoan signal recognition particle RNA